rnacentral:rRNA from 1 species
UACGGGGGGAGCAAGCGUUGUUCGGAUUUACUGGGCGUAAAGGGCGGGUAGGCGGCCACCGCAAGUCGACUGUGAAAUCUCCGGGCUUAACCCGGAAAGGUCAGCCGAUACUGCGGGGCUAGAGUGCAGAAGGGGCAACUGGAAUUCUCGGUGUAGCGGUGAAAUGCGUAGAUAUCGGGAAGAACACCGGUGGCGAAGGCGGCUCGCUGGGCCGUUGCUGACGCUGAGGCGCGAAAGCGUGGGGAGCAAACAGG